AAGUCGUAACAAGGUUUCCGUAGGUGAACCUGCGGAAGGAUCAUUAACACGUUUUAAACGUAUCAACCAACCGCGAAUUCUGACGUUAGUGGUCUCUCUCCGCAAGGGGAGUUGACUGCGCCUGAGCAUUGUUAGGGGAAAGUGUUGUUUAGGAGUACCCUUCGGGGUUUCCUCUACACAUGACUUCCUUUAACCUUGUUCAACAUUAACCCAAACCUCUUUUGUUGUUAUUAUCUGUCUUAAAGGACGUGGCGUCUAACGCUAUUGUCUUUUAUUACAAACUUGUACAACUCUUAGCAACGGAUGUCUUGGUUUCC
rnacentral:misc_RNA from 1 species